GCGUUGGUUUAGCUCAGUGGUUACUUCCGAUUGACUCGAAGAUCACCAUCUCAUGGCUGUCGGGAAACCGGCGACCGGAGAUCGAACCACGGGCGCUGUCCAGCGUUUUU
ensembl:vault_RNA Vault Vault RNA